GGUCACUGGCGGCCUGGUUACUUGGGUCAUCCCUAUCCACAUGGCUUGUGUGAGCUUCCUCACGGCAUGGCAGCCGCAUAGUGGCUGGAGUUCUUACACAGUGCCUGGUUUUCCCCAGAGAGAAAGCAAAAGCUGUUGGACCUCUUAUAGACGGUGACUGGAAUCAUCACAGUGACCCGUUACCACCUUCUCUUGUUCAAGACCAGCUGAAACUGAUUAGAGCCAAGAUAGCCAACCAAAUGACUUCAGGAAGACCUCAGGCUUCAUUAUCAUCUCAUUUCCAUGCUAAAAAAACCCAGCUCCCUAGAACAAUGGGAAAUAUUGGGCACUUCAUCAGGCGAGUUCAGGUGCAUUUCUAGAGAUUGUCCAGGUGCUGGUAACAAUAAUAGAGAACCAUCCAUAUCCACAAGAGGCAGAACCUCUUCCAGCAAAAUGGUGCUGCCUCACCCAAAGGUAUCACUAAGCAUAUAGAUUAUAGAAGCCUGAGAUGGUGAGUGGAAUCUGAAAAUGAAAUCUAACAUUUACCAAAGAUACAGAGAAGGAGGAAGAGACUGGAUUCGUUGUUCCGGCCCCUGAGUCUAGUCAGUCAGUUCUACUCUUGGGCUUUGUAGUUCUGUUCAUCAGUGAACUCUUCUGUUUUGUUGAAACCAGUUGGAGAAGGGUUUCCAGAAACCUGCACUUGAAGAGCAUCAGCUGGCACAGAGAUCUUGGCUGAACCCACUGCUGUGUUUGACUAGGAAUGAGAGUGGGCACACGGAGAGGGCAGCCCACCAGGCAGGUGUGUCUCACAUCACUGGGGAGCCCUUUUCAUUCAAAGAUGACCAGCUUAUAAAAGAUCAGUGAUGGGAAGUCCCAGGUAGGGCCCCCAGGACCUACAGCAGGGGCCAGCAAAGAAUGGUCAGCCGUCUCUCUACUGGGUCAGAAAGAAAUAAUGAAAGGGGCUGAACUUGGCCAUGUGAGCUGUCCAGCAUGGAUGCCAGACCAGACCAAAAUCCAGAUUCAGACAGCUGCUCCCUAUAGCAGGGGAAACCCCAAACACAGACAAGACAAAGCAGCAGAGCAACUUCCUUACCCAGACCACUGGCAGUCCCAAUCCUUCUCCACCCCUCAGGUUGCCUGGUUACUGGACAUGCGGACAUUCACUUUGAUUAUGCUCCAUUCGAGAAUGCUAGAAUGAAAAUGUGGGUAAAUGGUGAAGGAAUUCAAGGAAAAGAAAAUGCACCCACCAUGUUUAUGUUAUAAUACCAUGCUGGACCA
ensembl:lncRNA LINC02347 long intergenic non-protein coding RNA 2347